ACGGGUAUAGCAUAAUUGGUUAAGGCAUAAACCUUCUAAGUUUAAUUAUUCCGGUUCGAAUCCGGAUACCCGCU
rnacentral:tRNA from 1 species